AUGCCCCGCCCCCGCUCCGCUCCAGGGUCUGCUGCCUCCUGGGAGUUGUGGUUCUCCUGGUGCCUUCCCGGUUCGUGGUCUCUUCGCGGCCGCCGUAGGCCGCGGAACUACAACUCCCGGCGGGCGCAGGCGGCGCAGGCGCGUUGCGGUGGCGCGGUGGUCCCGCGUGCAGACGGCAUGUCGGCGCUGCGCUGUGGCCGCGGGGCGGCGGGGCUUCGGAGGGCCCUGUGGCCGAAGGGCCACCCCUGCCUCCUGGCCGAAGAAGGGACCCUCGGUGGCGUCUGGGGCCGGAAGAGGAGCUUGUCUGCCAGCGCUUGUGAGCAGGACCGCCGGAAGGGCUGCGGUCACGCGGAACUGCUGGAGGUGCUCGAGGCACGGGUGCGGCAACUGCAGGCGGAGGGCACAGCAGAGGAGGUGACGGUGAAGAGGGUGGCCGUGGCUCAGGCGCCGGAGGCUGGUGGCAUCUGGCCCCCCAGGCAGGCCCCACUUGGGGCUGAAGGGCCUGUCCCCAUGCUCAGCAGCCACUGGGCACAGAAGCUGGACAAGGAUCAGCAGCUGAUAGGGAAGCGCUGGCAGCAGCUGGAUGGGAAGCUGCCGAAGAUGGUGGAGAAGCCGACCUGGGAGAAGCGUCUGCGCAUGGAGCCGCGGCUGCUGAGCAGGAAGCUGGCGGGCCAGCUGCAGCAGUGGGAGCGCAAGAGGCCGCAGAGCCCCUGGGAGGAGCAGCUGGCCCGGCUGCUGCAGGAGGCCCCGCAGAGGCUGAGCCAGGAGGCAGAUGAGGGCUCUGAAUCCCGGCUGGAGGGCCAGCGCCAGAAGCUCCUGGCCUUUCUGGAAUGCUGCCUGCUCACGGGCCACCUGCCCCUGGCCCACCACGUGCUGGUUGCGCAGCACAGCCGGGCCCCACAGCAGCAGCUGCUCACACUCCCCAUGUACAACAUCGUCAUGCUUGGCUGGGCUCGCCAGGGCUCCUUCAAAGAGCUGAUGUACGUGUUCUUCAUGCUGAAAGAUGCUGGCCUGGCCCCGGACCUGCUGUCCUAUGCAGCCGCCCUGCAGUGCAUGGGGCGCCUGGACCAGGAUGCCAGCACCAUCCAAAGGUGCCUGAAGCAGAUGGAGCAGGACAGGCUGUCGCUGCAAGGGCUCUUCUCAGCUGUGCCCCUGAGCGCCGAGGAGCGGGAGGAGCUCCUGCGUGCUGUGCGCAAGGCCAGACCAGCGUUCAUCCCCCAGCCGCCACCUCCGCCCCCACCCCAGGUCAACACCUCGCCACUGCUCCAGGAGAUCUAUGCCAAGGACCCCUCUGUGUCCUACCCGAAGCUGCACUUGUCCCUGAAGGAGCUGCAGGGCCUCUUCCGACAGCAGCUUGGAGUGGAGAUGGCCACCACUGUCACCGUGGAGUCCGUGGAGAAGGCCCCGCUCCUGACCGAGGAGGUCCUACAGGCGCGGAAGACCCUGGCGGCCUUGCGCGCAGAAUGGGAGUCGGUGCUGUCCCUGGAGCUGCAGGAGAUCAAGGAGAGUGAGGCCCGCGCUGCCUCAGAAGGCCGCCCAUCCCUCUUCCCCUACCUGUGCCUGCUCAGUGAGAAGGAAUUAGUGGGGCUGCUGCUGCAGACCCUGCAGGCACUGCCCCCGCAUGGAGAGUCGCUCCUCUUCCUGGCGCACGAGCUGGGCAUGCGUGUGUUGAAGAGGAAGCGGCUCAGGAACCAGGUGGAAGAGCUGGAGCAGCGCUACUCCGAGUACCUGCACCUGCUGGCCUCGGACACCCAGGUAGCAGAGCCCUGUCUGCCUCGCCAGCACUGGGAAGCGCUGGGCGUGCCUGAGGCCCCCCCGGAGCAGCCCUGGCCCGUGUCUGUGCUGGUGCAGCUGGGCAAGCAGCUGGCAGAGGUGCUGGUACGAGCCGUGCAGAUGCCCAGCAGCCUGGCAGCGCCCCGGGGCCCCAGCACACUCAUUCCUGUGCUCUACCACGUGUAUUCCUUCCGCAGCUUCCGCCAGAUCGGGAUCCUGAAGCCACACCCAGCCUUCACUCAGCUGCAGGAGACGGCGGCGGAGCGCACACUGAUCUUCGAGUCCACGGAGGUGCCCAUGCUGUGCCCACCCCUGCCCUGGACGUCACCACACUCGGGCGCCUUCCUGCUGAGCCCCACCAAGAUGAUGCGGUCCCUGGAGGGCACCCAGCAGCACCAGCUCCUGCUAGAGCGCUGCCCGCCUGCCGAGCUGCACGGCGCUCUGGAUGCCCUCACUCAGCUGGGCAAUUGCGCUUGGCGUGUCAAUGGGCGUGUGCUCGACCUGGUGCUUGACCUCUUCAGGGACAAGGGCUGCCCUCGCCUGGGCGUGCCCGCCCCGCCCACCGAGGCCCCGAGGCCCCCCGAGGGCCGCCAGGCCCCCAAGGGCUGCCUGCUGCCCGAGGCCUCACCUGCCGACAAGGCAGAGAUGCGGCGGGAGCUGGCACGGCGGCUGAAGGUGGCACGGGAGAUGCAGAGCCUGCGCGCAGACGCACUCUACCGCCUGUCGCUGGCCCAGCAUCUGCGGAACCACGUCUUCUGGCUGCCGCACAACAUGGACUUCCGAGGCCGUACCUACCCCUGUUCACCACACUUCAACCAUCUUGGCAGUGACCUGGCCCGCGCGCUGCUGGAAUUUGCCCAGGGCCGCCCACUUGGCCCCCAUGGCCUCGACUGGCUCAAGAUCCACCUGGUCAACCUCACAGGGCUCAAGAAGCGCGAGUCACUACAGACGCGCCGGGACUACGCAGACGCGGUGAUGGAGGACAUCCUGGACUCAGCUGAACGACCCAUGACGGGCCGGAAGUGGUGGAUGGAGGCGGAUGAGCCGUGGCAAACCCUGGCCUGCUGCAUGGAGAUUGCCCAGGUGGUGCACUCCCCCGACCCUACCACCUACAUCUCCCACUUUCCGGUUCACCAGGACGGCUCCUGUAAUGGUCUCCAGCACUAUGCCGCCCUGGGCCGGGACAGCAUGGGGGCCACCUCCGUCAACCUGUCACCCUCUGACCUGCCACAGGACGUGUACAGUGAGGUGGCUGCACAGGUGGAGGUAUUCCGCAAGCAGGAUGCCAAGCAGGGCGUGCGGGUGGCCCAGGUGCUGGAGGGCUUCAUUAGCCGCAAGGUGGUCAAGCAGACAGUGAUGACCGUGGUGUAUGGUGUCACCCGCUAUGGCGGCCGCCUGCAGAUCGAGAGGCGCCUCCGGGAGCUCGAGGACUUCCCCCAGGAGUUCGUAUGGGAGGCAUCUCACUACCUCGUGCGCCAGGUGUUCAACAGCCUCCAGGAGAUGUUCUCUGGCACCCGGUCCAUCCAGCGCUGGCUGACUGAGAGUGCCCGGCUCAUCUCACUCACGGGCUCGGCUGUGGAGUGGAUCACGCCCCUGGGCGUCCCCAUCAUCCAGCCCUACCACCGAGACUCCAAGGUCAUGAUAAAAGGCGGGCUCCAGAGCCUCACUUUCAGCAGCAGUGUGGACACCAACCAGAAAGCCCAACACGUUGAAGCAGAAGAACGGCUUCCCACCCAACUUCAUCCACUCACUGGACUCCACGCACAUGAUGCUCACGGCCCUGCACUGUUACAGGAAGGGCCUGACCUUCGUCUCGGUGCACGACUGCUUCUGGACACAUGCGGCUGA
rnacentral:lncRNA from 1 species